rnacentral:lncRNA from 1 species
UUGUAGUUUAUGUAAAAAUUUAUUUGACCAAAAUGUAGAAAAAGUGAUACUAUUACAUAUGAUACAGUUGCAAGAAUCUAAAGUGUGGAUUUUAUUCCAUUGCACAAUUUGCUAGUGUAUUUCCUGGGUAGUGUGGUGCUGAAUAAAUAGGAGUAGGGUGGUGGGGUGGGGUGGGUAAGGGAUUCAGAUAAGCCAGAAGCAGGGUGAUUUUUAGUUGGAAUUGUAAACUUUAGUCAGCCCCCACACGCUGCUGGGGAAUGUGGAAUGUUCUAGCUCUGAGAUGUUAACUGAGAAAAGAGAAGUCAAACAAAGCCGAUACGUGCAGCCCUGUCUACAGAAUCCUUCAUUAUCCAGUUUAAUCAGGAGUUUCUUGGUCUUUUAUUAACUUGGUCCCAAAGAAGGAAUUCAAGUCCUAGAUAAGUAAAUCCUCAAUUUGCUGUUCCCUGAAGUAUGGAAAUGAAGUUGGGCCAGUUUUUAAUCUCUGCUGCCAGAGAGGCCCUUUCUGCUAAUAGAUAAAAACUCUUUUGCUCAACUUAGUAAUGACUUGUGGUCUUUUGGAUAUGGCUGACCUGAAUUGGACUGAACUCCACCAUAUUCCUGCUGAGUGGGUCAUUACUGGAAUGAGACAUUUGCUCUUCAGAGAACAACUUUAUUUUUAUUUUUUCUUGAGAUGGAGUCUCACUCUGUCGACCAGGCUGGAGCGCUGUGGUGCGAUAUCGGCUCACUGCAGUCUCCACUUCCUGGGUUCAAGCGAUCCUCCUGCCUCAGCCUCCCGAGUAGCUGGGACUACAGGCAGGCGAUCGCUUGAGCCCAGGAGGUCGAGGCUGCACGAGCCGAGAUCGCACCACUGCACUCCAGCCUGGGCGACAGAGUGAGA